AGAAUGCCGGUAUGAGUAUGCGAAAAGGUGAGUGAGAAUCUCACCCGCCGAAAACCUAAGGAUUCCUGGGGAAGGCUCGUCCGCCCAGGGUAAGUCGGGACCUAAGCCGAGGCGAAAAGCGUAGGCGAUGGACAACUGGUUGAGAUUCCAGUACCACUCAGGAGCGUUUGAGCGAUGGGGUGACACAGAAGGAUAGGUUAAGCGUGCCGUUGGUCGAGCACGCCCAAGCCCGUAGGAAGCGAGAUAGGCAAAUCCGUCUCGCGGGAAUUCUGAAAGGUGAAGGGGAGCGAAAGUAGUAGCGAAGUAACCGACUCCAAGCUGUCAAGAAAAGCCUCUAGUGAGCUUGCUGAGUGCCCGUACCGCAAACCGACACAGGUAGGUAAGGAGAGAAUCCUAAGGCGCGCGAGAAACAACCCUCGUUAAGGAACUCGGCAAAAUGACCCCGUAACUUCGGGAGAAGGGGUGCUCUAGAGAUAGAGCCGCAGAGAAGAGGUCCAGGCGACUGUUUAUCAAAAACACAGGUUCCUGCCAAUCUGAAAAGAGAAGUAUAGGAGCUGACGCCUGCCCGGUGCUGGAAGGUUAAGAGGAGAGGUUAGCGUGAAAGCGCGAAGCUUUGAAUUGAAGCCCCAGUAAACGGCGGCCGUAACUAUAACGGUCCUAAGGUAGCGAAAUUCCUUGUCAGGUAAGUUCUGACCCGCACGAAAGGCGUAACGAUCUGGACACUGUCUCAACGAGGGACUCGGCGAAAUUGUAAUACCCGUGAAGAUGCGGGUUACCUGCGACAGGACAGAAAGACCCCAUGGAGCUUUACUGUAGCUUGACAUUGGACUUUGGUAUAAAAUGUACAGGAUAGGUGGGAGACUGAGAAGCCAGGGCGCCAGCCUUGGUGGAGUCAAUGGUGGGAUACCACUCUUUUUGUACUGAAGUUCUAACUUAGGCCCCUGAAUCGGGGUUGAGGACCGUGUCAGGUGGGCAGUUUGACUGGGGCGGUCGCCUCCUAAAGAGUAACGGAGGCGCCCAAAGGUUCCCUCAGCGCGGAUGGAAAUCGCGCGAAGAGUGUAAAGGCAGAAGGGAGCUUGACUGCGAGACCAACAAGUCGAGCAGGGACGAAAGUCGGGCUUAGUGAUCCGGUGGUACCGAGUGGAAGGGCCAUCGCUCAACGGAUAAAAGCUACCCUGGGGAUAACAGGCUUAUCUCCCCCAAGAGUCCAUAUCGACGGGGAGGUUUGGCACCUCGAUGUCGGCUCAUCGCAUCCUGGGGCUGUAGUAGGUCCCAAGGGUUGGGCUGUUCGCCCAUUAAAGCGGUACGUGAGCUGGGUUCAGAACGUCGUGAGACAGUUCGGUCCCUAUCCGUCGCAGGCGCAGGAAAUUUGAGAGGAACUGACCCUAGUACGAGAGGACCGGGUUGGACGGAUCACUGGUGUACCAGUUGUCUCGCCAGAGGCAGUGCUGGGUAGCUAUAUCCGGAGCGGAUAAGCGCUGAAAGCAUCUAAGCGCGAAACCGGCCUCAAGAUGAGAUUUCCCACAGCAUAAGCUGGU
rnacentral:rRNA from 1 species